rnacentral:rRNA from 1 species
ACAUGCAAGUCGAACGGACAAUUAUUUAUAGCUUUUGGCUAUAGGCAAUUGUUAGUGGCAGACGGGUGAGUAAUGCGUAGGAAUCUACCUAGUAGUACGGAAUAGCCAUUAGAAAUGAUGGGUAAUACUGUAUAAUCCCCGCGGGGGAAAGAUUUAUCGCUAUUAGAUGAGCCUACGUUAGAUUAGCUAGUUGGUAAGGUAAUGGCUUACCAAGGCUAUGAUCUAUAGCUGGUCUGAGAGGACGAUCAGCCACACUGGAACUGAGAUACGGUCCAGACUCCUACGGGAGGCAGCAGUGGGGAAUAUUGGACAAUGGGCGAAAGCCUGAUCCAGCUAUGCCGCGUGAGUGAAGAAGGCCUUCGGGUUGUAAAACUCUUUCAAUAGGGAAGAUAAUGACGGUACCUAUAGAAGAAGUCCCGGCAAACUCUGUGCCAGCAGCCGCGGUAAUACGGAGGGGGCAAGCGUUGUUCGGAAUUAUUGGGCGUAAAGGGCACGUAGGUGGACUAGUAAGUUAAAAGUGAAAUACCAAAGCUUAACUUUGGAGCGGCUUUUAAUACUGCUAGACUAGAGGUCGAAA